CCUCCUUCAUUCCUUCAACAGAGUUUUAGAAGGACUCAGCACGUACCAGGCACAGAGGGUGCAACGGAGACUGAACGAGGAGAGACAGGAUCCAGGCUUCAGGGCCCCCUGACUAGCUGGAGUGAGGUGACUUCCCCUGAGUCAGGCAGCGGAGUGAUGCAGGGUCUCCCUUGGGCCUGCUCUGUUCCUAGAAAACAGUAAUUCUCAAAGACCACGGAGUGAAACCUGGUGGGACUCUGAGAGCCUUAGGUCUGCAGGUGGUUGGCAGGCAGCUCUGGAACUUGCAACACCUGACAUGCAGACACU